GAACUCUGGUAUUGAUUGGUGCUUGCAUCAUGAUUUACAUUUGAGUGAGUGGCGAACUGGUGAGUAACACGUGGGAAACCUGCCCAGAAGCGGGGGAUAACACCUGGAAACAGAUGCUAAUACCGCAUAACAACUUGGACCGCAUGGUCCGAGUUUGAAAGAUGGCUUCGGCUAUCACUUUUGGAUGGUCCCGCGGCGUAUUAGCUAGAUGGUGGGGUAACGGCUCACCAUGGCAAUGAUACGUAGCCGACCUGAGAGGGUAAUCGGCCACAUUGGGACUGAGACACGGCCCAAACUCCUACGGGAGGCAGCAGUAGGGAAUCUUCCACAAUGGACGAAAGUCUGAUGGAGCAACGCCGCGUGAGUGAAGAAGGGUUUCGGCUCGUAAAACUCUGUUGUUAAAGAAGAACAUAUCUGAGAGUAACUGUUCAGGUAUUGACGGUAUUUAACCAGAAAGCCACGGCUAACUACGUGCCAGCAGCCGCGGUAAUACGUAGGUGGCAAGCGUUGUCCGGAUUUAUUGGGCGUAAAGCGAGCGCAGGCGGUUUUUUAAGUCUGAUGUGAAAGCCUUCGGCUCAACCGAAGAAGUGCAUCGGAAACUGGGAAACUUGAGUGCAGAAGAGGACAGUGGAACUCCAUGUGUAGCGGUGAAAUGCGUAGAUAUAUGGAAGAACACCAGUGGCGAAGGCGGCUGUCUGGUCUGUAACUGACGCUGAGGCUCGAAAGUAUGGGUAGCAAACAGGAUUAGAUACCCUGGUAGUCCAUACCGUAAACGAUGAAUGCUAAGUGUUGGAGGGUUUCCGCCCUUCAGUGCUGCAGCUAACGCAUUAAGCAUUCCGCCUGGGGAGUACGGCCGCAAGGCUGAAACUCAAAGGAAUUGACGGGGGCCCGCACAAGCGGUGGAGCAUGUGGUUUAAUUCGAAGCUACGCGAAGAACCUUACCAGGUCUUGACAUACUAUGCAAAUCUAAGAGAUUAGACGUUCCCUUCGGGGACAUGGAUACAGGUGGUGCAUGGUUGUCGUCAGCUCGUGUCGUGAGAUGUUGGGUUAAGUCCCGCAACGAGCGCAACCCUUAUUAUCAGUUGCCAGCAUUAAGUUGGGCACUCUGGUGAGACUGCCGGUGACAAACCGGAGGAAGGUGGGGAUGACGUCAAAUCAUCAUGCCCCUUAUGACCUGGGCUACACACGUGCUACAAUGGAUGGUACAACGAGUUGCGAACUCGCGAGAGUAAGCUAAUCUCUUAAAGCCAUUCUCAGUUCGGAUUGUAGGCUGCAACUCGCCUACAUGAAGUCGGAAUCGCUAGUAAUCGCGGAUCAGCAUGCCGCGGUGAAUACGUUCCCGGGCCUUGUACACACCGCCCGUCACACCAUGAGAGUUUGUAACACCCAAAGUCGGUGGGGUAACC
rnacentral:rRNA from 2 species